GAUAAUCAGGUGUACCGUCUCGUAUUUUACC
rnacentral:sRNA from 1 species